rnacentral:rRNA from 1 species
CGGGUGAGUAACACGUAAGUAACCUGCCUUUAAGACGAGGAUAACAACCGGAAGGUUACUAAGACUGGAUAGGAAACAAAAAGGCAUCUUUUUGUUUUUAAAAGACCUUCUUACGAAGGUAUGCUUAAAGAGGGGCUUGCGCCACAUUAGUUAGUUGGUAGAGUAAAAGCCUACCAAGACGAUGAUGUGUAGCUGGACUGAGAGGUUGAACAGCCACAUUGGGACUGAGACACGGCCCAAACUCCUACGGGAGGCAGCAGUAGGGAAUUUUCGGCAAUGGAGGAAACUCUGACCGAGCAACGCCGCGUGAACGAUGAAGUAUUUCGGUAUGUAAAGUUCUUUUAUUGAAGAAGAAAAAGUAGUGGAAAAACUAUAUUGACGUUAUUCAAUGAAUAAGCCCCGGCUAACUAUGUGCCAGCAGCCGCGGUAAGACAUAGGGGGCGAGCGUUAUCCGGAAUUAUUGGGCGUAAAGGGUGCGUAGGCUGUUAGAUAAGUCUAUAAUUUAAUUUCAGUGCUUAACGCUGUCUUGUUAUAGAAACUGUCUUGACUAGAGUGAGAUAGAGGCAAGCGGAAUUCCAUGUGUAGCGGUAAAAUGUGUAAAUAUAUGGAGGAACACCAGAAGCGUAGGCGGCUUGCUGGGUCUUUACUGACGCUGAGGCACGAAAGCGUGGGUAGCAAACAGGAUUAGAUACCCUGGUAGUCCACGCCGUAAACGAUGAGUACUAAGUGUCGGGGUAAAACUCGGUACUGAAGUUAACACAUUAAGUACUCCGCCUGAGUAGUACGUACGCAAGUAUGAAACUUAAAGGAAUUGACGGGACUCCGCACAAGCGGUGGAUCAUGUUGUUUAAUUCGAAGAUACACGAAAAAUCUUACCAGGUCUUGACAUACUCUGCAAAGCUAUAGAAAUAUAGUGGAGGUUAUCAGGGAUACAGGUGGUGCAUGGUUGUCGUCAGUUCGUGUCGUGAGAUGUUAGGUUAAGUCCUAAAACGAACGCAACCCUUGUCGUUAAUUGCCAGCACAUAAUGGUGGGGACUUUAACGAGACUGCCAAUUAAACAUUGGAGGAAGGUGAGGAUUACGUCAAAUCAUCAUGCCCCUUAUGAUCUGGGCUACAAACGUGAUACAAUGGCUGUGACAAAGAGUAGCUGAAACGCGAGUUUUUAGCCAAUCUCAAAAAAGCAGUCUCAGUUCGGAUUGAAGUCUGUAACUCGACUUCAUGAAGUUGGAAUCGCUAGUAAUCGCGAAUCAGCAUGUCGCGGUGAAUACGUUCUCGGGGUUUGUACACACCGCCCGUCAAACCACGAAAGUUAGCAAUGCCCGAAAGCAGUAGCU